GUAUUGAGUUUGGUUUUAUCAUUGAGCGUAGUGGAGGACCCGAGUGCAGACUAGGCUCCCUCCUCUCCUCUCCUCUCCACUCCUCUCACUCGACUCUAGAGCUCUACUUUGUCCCGUCGUGAUCCACAGGGCACAACCAUGGAGGAAAUGGACUUUGAGCGGCGCAGGGAGUUGAGGAGACAGAAGCGGGAAGAGAUGCGCCUGGAGGCAGAGAGGAUGGCAAGGAAUGAUGAUGAUGAAGAGGAGGCGGCCCGUGAGAGGAGGCGCAGGGCACGCCAGGAGAGGAUGAAGAGCAAGGAGAGCGAGGAGCCCAGCGGCCAGUCGGACAGCCUGGUUAUGACCAACAGCCACAGUGUCACAGAGACGGUGUCUGUGAGCAGCUCUUAUGGAGGCGGUGGAGAUGACGAGGACCAAGCCCUACUGGACCGCAUGGCCAAACGAGAGGAGAGACGGCAGAGGCGCAUGAAGGAGGCGCUGGAGAGACAGAGACAGCUGGACCCCACUGAGACGGAGGGCAACGACAGCACCGCCACGGAGAAAAACAGCGCAGAAGAGGAGAGGCCCUCCUCCUGGCGUAGGGGACGUUACCGUGACAAUGACGACGAGGCUAAGAAGAUGGAAACCUAUAGCUCGAGAAGAGAGGAGGAAAAGGAGCGAGAGGAGCUGAGGGAGGAAGAGCAGGCUGCCCCUGAAGGGGGAGAGGAAGAAGCGGAGGGGGUAGAUGAAGAGGAGGAGCAGCCAGUUGCAGUUGUGGAGGACAAACCGAGAAGGUCUUACUUGAGAGACCAGGCGUCAGCUGAAGAGCCUAAAAUUCAAAACAAGGUGAAUGAGCCCAGGGAGGAGAGGGAGGAUCAGAGGAAGCACAACGGAGGGCUGCAUGAGGAGGCGCCUCCCAAACAGCACAGGAAACCUGAGAGGACCACCAGCCGCGGCAGCGUGCGCUCCCCCGAGCCUUCUGCGGGUGAUGACCCGGACGAGGAUGCCCGCCUGGAGGCGGAGCGCAAGCUGGAGGAGCUGAAGCGGCGUCGCGAUGACGCGGAGAGCGAGGAGUUUGAGAGGAUGAGGCAGAAGCAGCAGGAGGCCGAAGCUGAGCUGGAGGAGCUGAAAAGGAAGAGGGAGGAUAGGAGAAAGGUGCUGGAGGAGGAGGAGAGGCAGAGGAAGCAGGAAGAGGCAGAAAGGAAAGCCAAAGAGGAGGAGGAGAAGAGGAAGAUGAAAGAGGAGAUCGAAAGGAGGAGAGCAGAGGCGGCUGAGAAGAGACAGAAGGUGGAUGACACUAUGGAUGGAGAGGGCAAACCGUUUAAGUGUCUCAGCCCGCGAGGAUCCUCUCUGAAGAUUGAGGAGAGAGCCGAGUUUCUAAACAAGUCAGCACAGAAAAGCACAAUGAAGGCGUCUCAUUGUCCUGUGGUGUCCAAGAUAGACAACAGGCUGGAGCAGUACACCUCAGCUGCUCAGAGAGAGAACAAGGAGUCUCGAUCCCCUCGCUCCGGAGCCGUGGAUCUGCCCAUGGUCACCGACAGCAUACGAAACAUCAAGAGCAUGUGGGAGAAAGGCAACGUGUUCAGCUCGCCUGGAAGCGGCGGGAGCACAUUCAAGGAAGCAGCUGUGAUAAAGACAGGCGUAGCGGGCCGCAUCAACGACUGGCUGAAUAAAACCCCAGAGAGCAGCAAGACACCAGGAGGAAGGCCAGCGGACCUGAAGCCUGUUGACGUCACCAACAAGAGGAGUCUAUGGGAAAACAAAGGUGCCUCUCCGGCCAAGAACUCUGAUAGCUAGUUGACCUCACCGUUAAAUCUGGAAUAAGCCUGGAGAGGUGGCAGGCAGAGGGGAGACCAAAUCAGUUGCUAAUGGUAUGGGACACUAAUGUCUUGAAGGAGCCACUAAAGCUGGGGACCACGACAAUCCAAGACUCUUCUUUGACUUUUCCUUAAGAACCAAAUACCACACCCCCAGGAGGGACCCCCAAGAGCACGCAGGGACAGGACAGACACUGUCUGAGCACCGUACCGAAAAAGCAUCAGCAUAUUGUUAUAGGCUUACCACGUAUAGUCCCUUUGCACAAUAAUUUCUGCUUUCUAAAAAAAAAAAAAAGUAUGAUAACAACAAAAUGCUGUGAAAUUUGGACAUUUAAAAUUACUAAUUACUUUAUAAAAUCCUGCCAGGAAGACAAUAAAACUAAUAGAAUUAAGAUUUAUGUCUCGUACUCCGUGCUGAGUGGAUGAGUUCAAAAGUUUCCACAUUCCAAAGAGAUGGGCGAUAUCACUUCUCUCCCUCAGAAUAUUUUCCAUCUCUCUCUUUUUUUAUUUAUAUUUAAAGCAAAAGCUUCACACAAUGCUAUAUUAUUCAACGUUCACCUGUUCAGGAUAGAAAUAUAAGCACUUCUAGAGUUUAGCUGAUUUCACUUUUAUUGUCUUACCAAUAGUGCAGCAAUGGUCUGAGUAAUAUAUGCUAGCACAUGUGAUGUUUUGACUAUGACCUAUCAUACUGUAUCAUAUAUAACAUCUGUAUACUCAUAACAAAAGGUAUUUUUUGCUUCUUCUUUUUUUUAUUCAUUCACCAACAGGCAGUUAAUUUUGAAGGUUACAGGAGUGUUGGAUAUUCAGAAGGCCAUUUUGACAUUUAUUGUCCUUUCAUGUCAUUUCUUUUUUUUAAUUUAUGUUUUAAUGUUUUGUUGUUUUUUAGUUCUUUCUAGCUUUUGAACACUUUAAAACAUCUUCAGACAUUCCUCUUAAAAGCAGUUGCACGUGGUGCCUUUGCUGCCUUAAAGUUUUAUAAUGUAGGACAUGUUUUUUUUAAUCUGCCUUUAACUUCUUUUUUGCCUCUAUGCACACUCUUAUGCUCAGCAAUACUUGACAUAUUGAGGGCAUACAAAGUAAAAUCAGGGUGCCUAAACAUAUAGCAAGGUCAUAGUAACAAGGAUAUUUACCACUAUAUAAAACUUCUGGCCUUAUGAUUGCAAUGACAGCAUUUAGGACAGCCGAGGUACAGUACUUUAAAGCCUCCUAGCAGCUCAGCAUGAUUUUGACUUGUGAUUUUUCACGUUUUCGCGCAGCACAAGCUUAUAAGAAUAUGAACUGUUUGUCAGGGCAUUAAAUUGAUCGAUGUUACUGCUCAACAAUCUGACAAUCACAUUCCAUGGCUCCUGAAAAGAGCAGGGGAGCUGGACCAAAAUAUUUUUAAGCAUGAUAAAAUGUGACUUUUUUGUAUUUUUUUUAAUGUAAUGGUUUCAUAAUGUUGUGUUUUGUUUUCUACAGCCUUGUGUCCAUUUUUUAAAUUUCCAUGUUUAACCAGACACUUGUUUCUUGUGUAGCGCUAAGCCUAUGCAGAAUACACUAUCUGUAGUCUCUCUCCAAAUGUCAUACAAGCAGGCAGUUUCCAAGCGGCGGAAUGUGUUGAACAUUGUAACCUUGACUCAACAACAGCAAUAAAUACAUUGAGGUAUUCCA